rnacentral:rRNA from 1 species
AUUGAACGCUGGCGGCAUGCCUUACACAUGCAAGUCGAACGGCAGCAUGAUCUAGCUUGCUAGAUUGAUGGCGAGUGGCGAACGGGUGAGUAAUACAUCGGAACGUGCCCUGUAGUGGGGGAUAACUAGUCGAAAGAUUAGCUAAUACCGCAUACGACCUGAGGGUGAAAGUGGGGGACCGCAAGGCCUCAUGCUAUAGGAGCGGCCGAUGUCUGAUUAGCUAGUUGGUGGGGUAAAGGCCCACCAAGGCGACGAUCAGUAGCUGGUCUGAGAGGACGAUCAGCCUCACUGGGACUGAGACACGGCCCAGACUCCUACGGGAGGCAGCAGUGGGGAAUUUUGGACAAUGGGGGCAACCCUGAUCCAGCAAUGCCGCGUGUGUGAAGAAGGCCUUCGGGUUGUAAAGCACUUUUGUCCGGAAAGAAAUCGCACUUACUAAUAUUAGGUGUGGAUGACGGUACCGGAAGAAUAAGGACCGGCUAACUACGUGCCAGCCGCCGCGGUAAGAC